CUAAGAAUAUUCCGCAAUGGACGGAAGUCUGACGGAGCGACGCCGCGUGGAUGAAGAAGGCCGAAAGGUUGUAAAGUUCUUUUGCUGGGGAAGAAUAACCGCAGGAGGGAAUGCCUGUGGGAUGACAAGAACCGGCGAAUAAGCCCCGGCCAACUACGUGCCAGCAGCCGCGGUAACACGUAGGGGGCGAGCGUUGCUCGGAAUUACUGGGCGUAAAGGGCAUGUAGGCGGCUUGGAAAGCCUGGCGUGAAAGUCUGCAGCUUAACUGCAGGGGUGCGCUGGGAACCGCUGAGCUUGAGUGACGGAGAGGGAGCUGGAAUUCCUGGUGUAGGGGUGAAAUCUGUAGAUAUCAGGAAGAACACCGAUGGCGAAGGCAAGCUCCUGGCCGAUGACUGACGCUGAGGUGCGAAAGUGUGGGGAUCAAACAGGAUUAGAUACCCUGGUAGUCCACACAGUCAACGAUGUGCACUAGGUGCUGGGGCGGUAGCUUCGGUGCCGGAGCGAACGUGGUAAGUGCACCGCCUGGGGGAGUAUGCUCGCAAGGGUGAAACUCAAAUGAAUUGACGGGGUCAUAGCUG
rnacentral:rRNA from 1 species